CCUACGGGAGGCAGCAGUGGGGAAUAUUGCACAAUGGGCGCAAGCCUGAUGCAGCCAUGCCGCGUGUGUGAAGAAGGCCUUCGGGUUGUAAAGCACUUUCAGCGGGGAGGAAGGCGUUAAGGUUAAUAACCUUGUCGAUUGACGUUACCCGCAGAAGAAGCACCGGCUAACUCCGUGCCAGCAGCCGCGGUAAUACAGAGGGUGCAAGCGUUAAUCGGAAUUACUGGGCGUAAAGCGCACGCAGGCGGUCUGUCAAGUCGGAUGUGAAAUCCCCGGGCUCAACCUGGGAACUGCAUUCGAAACUGGCAGGCUAGAGUCUUGUAGAGGGGGGUAGAAUUCCAGGUGUAGCGGUGAAAUGCGUAGAGAUCUGGAGGAAUACCGGUGGCGAAGGCGGCCCCCUGGACAAAGACUGACGCUCAGGUGCGAAAGCGUGGGGAGCAAACAGGAUUAGAUACCCCGGUAGUC
rnacentral:rRNA from 1 species